rnacentral:snRNA from 1 species
AUACUUACCUGGGCGGGGUCGAUCGAUGAUCAGGAAGGUCGAUGGCCUAGGAAGGCCACCUCCAUUGCACUUGCGAGGGCGGUCUACCUAGCAUCUCCCACUGAGGAGAGUGCACGUCAUAAUUUGUGGCAGAGGAGGCUCGCGUUCGCGCGGCCUCCAC